CAGCAGCCGCGGUAACACAGAGGGUGCGAGCGUUAAUCGGAUUUACUGGGCGUAAAGCGUGCGUAGGCGGCUUUUUAAGUCGGAUGUGAAAUCCCUGAGCUUAACUUAGGAAUUGCAUUCGAUACUGGGAAGCUAGAGUAUGGGAGAGGAUGGUAGAAUUCCAGGUGUAGCGGUGAAAUGCGUAGAGAUCUGGAGGAAUACCGAUGGCGAAGGCAGCCAUCUGGCCUAAUACUGACGCUGAGGUACGAAAGCAUGGGGAGCAAACAGGAUUAGAUACCCGAGUAGUCCCUGUCUCUUAUAC
rnacentral:rRNA from 1 species